AAAAAAAAAAGACAAUGUGAUGAUACCGGAUAUAAUUUCAACAACAACAACAAAAAAACUCAGAUUGAAGAGGUCUUUCACCUUUUCUUUUUUACUCCGAGGAAGAACUCUGGAUGGCUACAGUUGAUCCCACUGCCUCUGCAAUCCUGUUCUUACAAAAACAAUAUUACUUAUGAGAAAUAAAAUAGACUAUUUUCUAUUCCUUACUGGAUUUUUGGUUGUUUACAAAACACAGAUUUCUGUGGGUGCAGUUUUUUUGUGUAGAGGUGGGGUUUUGCGAGUGUGCUUCUGCAAUAUGGACGUUCAUUGGUGUACAUUGUUUUUGGCGGGAGGAGGAGGGACAUCACAAUGUGACAGACAAGAUCCUUGCCCUUUGACCAUUUAGUGGGCAUGGCUCUUUGGAAUUGACUGAUCCUCAAGGAGCGCAGGAGAAAGAAUUCAACAACAAAGUUAGUCUGUUUUUUUCUGGUUUUGGGGGAGUUCAUUAUUAGUGUGUCUUCCGGUUUCAUUUAGUUACUUUUUUGUUGUUGAACUGCCGAUCUUAACUAGACAAGUACUGAAAGAAGUAUAAAGCUUAAACAAAAAGCACCGCAGAGGUGUUUUUGGUACUUCGACCACGAAUAAAGGAAACAACAAUAUCAUCGCUUUAAUAGGAGAGAAAAAAUGCCCUGGAGUGAAAUUGUGGAGUUUUAUUUUUUAUCCACCAACGUAAAAGAGACAGAUGGACAAAUCUUUGAUGGGUGGAUGAGAAUAAAGGAAAUUUGAAGAUUUUGUAAAACUGUACAUACAUGAUGUUGACCUCAAAUCUACCAUUGCAUUUGAUUGGACUGUGUCAGCAGCAUAUCUUACUUUUUAUCAUUAUACUUUUUUAAGGGGGCUCAGGGUGUGCAGUGGGAGUGUAUUAACCCUGCAAUGAGGGGAAAUGAAAGGGUACCAGUACUGAUCCCUGGGGGACACCCCUCGACACUCACACCCUGCCCUGACACUCACUAUGCACUUUCUAACUGUGAGGUUCCAUUACAUUUGGGACGGGAGCACAGAAAUAGUACAAAGGGAGGGUUGGAAAAUGUAACUUUUUUAGUUAGUACCGUCUCACUGAAAACGAGAUUCAAACCGAAACAAAAGACUUAGGAACACACCUUCCUCCUCCUGUAUAUAACCAUAUUUUUGUAUUACCUUUUUUUUAGAAAAUCACUUGGACAAAACCACAAGGCUUGAUAUAAAAACAAACAGAUGAAAGAAAUUCAAGACAGAUUGAGGAACAGAGUGAAUGUUCCUCAAGGAAACAUGUUUUUUUUGUUGAUAAUACUGAGGUAAAUUAACCACCUGGAAGUUCCCUUGACUUUGCCAGUGGCCCUGUCUAUCAUCAGGAAUGGCGAAAGAAAGGACUUAACGUGGAUGGAGCUGCGGACUGUAGGGACUACCAAGACUGAUUGGUGAUCAUCGUCUGUCAUCAAAAUGGACUCCGCUGCAGAGCCCAGCCCAGGGUGUUUGAACAACAAUCGCCAACCAAUGGAGAAGGCAGGGGAGAGACAACACAAACAAUGGAUGUAUCGGCAGACCUUCUGCCCAGAUGCCCCCCCCGCCUUCUGCCACCUAGCCACUGCCUGGAGAUCAACUACAAGGUGACUGCAAGAAGAGAACCAUCAUACAGGAUUCUAACUGUUCCUAGCUGCCCUCUGUUGGAAAGGAGAUGGAGCGUACUGUAUCUUCAGACCUUUAUUUUCCUCUUCUCUCUGCCCCCUGGUGGUAAAAGUGCCAAGCAGAAACCACAGCAGCAGAGGAACUUGAACAGUGGACUACACACAAACGUAGAGCUUUACUCAUGUGUACAGUACACGCAGCUGGAUUCUGGUACAAGAAUUGCAAGCACACAUUCUCAAAAAGACUUGCUCUUUUCUAGAACCACAUUCACACACACAACUGAUAGAGCCUGUCAUUACACCAGUGUUUCCCAAACUCGGUCCUGGAGGCCCCAAGGGGUGCACUACACAGCUGAUUCAAAUAAUCAACUAAUUAUCAAGCGCUGGUUAUUCAAAUCAGUUGUGUAGUGCUAGAGCAUAAACAAAAACGUGCACCCCUUGGGGGUCCCCAGGACUGAGUUUGGGAAACACUGCAUGACACAUUCAUGCACACACACACACACACACACACACACACACACAAGCGGAAAGGCUCAAUACUACACACUUGAGUUCAAACUGCUAUGUAAAUAACGUGAAAGUAUUUUGUUUUCGUCUUAUUGUUUUUCUUUUCUCUCUGUUCAACAUGCCUUAACUGUACAGAUCUGCCUUGUAUGGCAAACUCUACAUGUUCAAUAAACAGUAAGAGAACAUAAGGACAAUAGCAUUUGAAGGGGAGGUCUGUUCUACUUACUGGACAGGACUGUCUUGUUGGUUAACAAGACUUGUAUGUUACGUUAUUUCUGUCCAGCAUCUAUCGCACGUUAGCAUGAAAGUAGAACUGUAGAAAACCCCUUACGACAAUGAUGAUGAUGGUGGUAUGCCUUUUUUGAAAGCAAGAGUGUUUCUUUUCAGAUAUCCAGUUUUAAAUGCCUAUACAUGUAGUUGGUGUAGGGUAAGGAAUGAGAAGUCUGGAGUAUAGUGUGGAGCUGAGCUGACUUGGAAGGGUAUGUUAAAAGGCCCAGUGCACCUAAAACAAACUACUUUAUAUAUAGUAUAUUUCCACACUGAGGUUUGAAUAAUACUGUAAAACUGUUAAUGCUCUUUUAGUUUAAGAGCUAUUUGAAAAGACUGCCUAUUUUGGUGGGAUGGAGUUUUUGCCUGCAUGGUGACAUAGACCAAUAAGAAAAAGCGUUCCAAACCUCUCUGCCAAUAACAGCUAGUUUAGUUUCCCUCCCCACUCAGACCACUCCCAGACAGUCCUUGCUAAAUUCUUGCUUGAUAAAUUGGUCUUUGCUAAGAAGCUGUUUUUGUUUAUUUUUGACCAUUUUUAAAUAAAUGAAAUCACAGUAGGGUAAUUAAACUGUUUCCCAGAAAUGAUUUGAUAUUGAGAUGUCUGCAUUGGACUUUUUUAAUAUCUGUCCUCUCUCUCACACACACACACACACACACACACACACACACACAGCCCCACUACAUAUUACUAUUUACCCCAUCACUAGUAAUGUUUUGACGGAAAGGAUUGUGACACAAUGAUUCACAUUAUGAGACUUGAUUUGAAAGAUGUUCAACUGUUUUAUCUUGGUGCUUACCACACCUUAAAAUGGAGGAUAUAUUUAUUCUUGGCGUUCUCGGAGUAGCCUAAAUUGUCCCUAAACAUUUGACUACUGACCAUUUGUAAUGACUUAUGACCCUGUAUAUUAGAAGCGUCUACCGUAGCUAAUGGUAUUGAAUGGCUGUAUACGAUUCAAGGUUUACUCAACCGAUUGAGUGGCUAUGAUACUUGUUGCUAUAUGUAUUCCAUUAUACAGUUGAUAAUGGGUUUGUCUCUCUUCUACUGAAGGUGCUUGGAACAGUUCUGAAACUUGUUAGUUUGUUUUUCGUAUGGAGAAACCCAAUACUUCCCCUGUCAGUUAGGUUGAAUGGAUUAAUUCUUUUGAAAGUGUUUUCCUAUUUAGAAUCAGUUCUGGUUGGUCCGACAAGCAAGUAUUAUCUUCCGUUGUAGGAUAUGACUGUGGUUCAGGUUUUUCCAUAUGUUAGCAUUGGCUUUCUCCCCAGCGAGCACAUUUGGUUCCUUGGAAGUUGCCAUACCUUUCCUAACUGGUAAAACAGAAGAAAAAAAAUGUACGUUCUGAGAACAGCAGUGAAAACUUUGCCUGUUCUGGGAAUGUUUAUUUUUAGGUUGCAGGGAGGUUCUUACAACGUUUUACUCUGGUUCCUUUGAAGUUCCCCUCUGAGGUUUUAUUAAACACUGAGAACGGAAAUUCUAGGUACUUGGAAGUUUAAAAAAAAUAUAACUUUCUUAACUUUCACUGAAAGUUUCAAUAAGAAACUGAACGUUUUAAGAACACCGCUAGCUUAUUUGGGGUUAACUAUUUAAACUCCAAGCACAGAUCAGACACAUGGAAAUUGAUGCAAACAUUUAAAAAAUUGUGACAUGGCAUCUGUGAGAUUCGAACCUAUAAUCUUCUGGAAUUAGUCUACUGUGCCAUCAGGAUGGAGCUAGUGUGCCAUUGUUUUUUUUACACAUACAAAUCUGUUCCUUUGAGUCUAUUCAAACAUACCACAUUUUUAAAAGGAAACAGCACUCCUCAAGCUCAGGUGUGGCCAAUUAGUGGGUGCGGCCACCACACCCAAACACACUUCACAAGAGUUUUGGUGAUGCUGAGAACAGAAUGUAUGUUUUUGAAAUAACGUUCUCUGAACAUUAAAGUUGUUAACAAUGAGAAAAUAACUUUAAAUAGAACCAUGAGGAAAUGUUAUGCUGAAGUACUGAAAUUCCCACAGAAGAACAUUGUUUAACGUUCUCUGAACUAUGAGAACAUUCCCAAUUUCAAACCAGUUGGAGAAUGUUCUUAAAACAUUACCAAAACUGAACUUAAAUGUAACCAUGUUGGAACUUUUAGGAAACAUUGUUAAAAGUAAUGACAUUUGACAAAGUGCUGAGAAUGUUCCAAAGCCAAGCAACUAUCCUGCAACAUUCCCAGAAAGUUGUGGGAAGGACAUAUGCAAAAUCAACACGACCAGACUCCUCCCACCAAACUAAUAAACAUAUGGUUCUCAGAAAGUUACAUUUUAGCUGGGUUGGUUUUGAAUACACUCUUCAGUCCGUUUGGAUCAGUUGAUGUAUUGGCUAGUGCAGAUUGGGGAAUAUCUAAAAUGUCACUGAAGUACUUUGUGAAGACAGAGAGAGCAGGGUAUUGUCAUUAUUUGAAUUCCAUCGGUCAGAUAAGGAUGCCAGUGGCAUGCUGGUUUGCAGUGAGUUGUGUUUCAAAUGUAGCCACCAAUUAUUCUAGUCUGUUGUUGAAUGACUGGUGGUUAUCAUAUGUUAGUCUGUCAAGUCUCCAGCUGUUGACAUUUUUCAGAUUUUCUGUUAAUCCUUGAAGUUCAAAAGUGAUUGAUGUUUUGGCAUUGUGAUGCCCCUGGGGGAGAUGAUUAAUUUACCAAUUUAUCAAAAGAUAUUUUCCCUUGUUUCACCCAGUCAGCUCAAUUCCAUCACUUAAACUUUUUGAAUGAGUUUAGUAACAUAAAUGCAUUCAGAAAAAUAACAACCUAAAGAAUUGUAAAUAGUUUGGUUUUUGUUUGUUUGAAGAGAACCAAAAGUGAUUAAAUAAAAUGCUUUUGAUGGA